AGAGGUCUCAAGCGUUGUUCGGAUUCAUUGGGCGUAAAGGGUGUGUAGGUGGCGCCGUAAGUCGGGUGUGAAAUUUCGGAGCUUAACUCCGAAACUGCAUUCGAUACUGCGGUGCUUGAGGACUGGAGAGGAGACUGGAAUUCAUGGUGUAGCAGUGAAAUGCGUAGAGAUCAUGAGGAAGACCAGUGGCGAAGGCGGGUCUCUGGACAGUUCCUGACACUGAGACACGAAGGCCAGGGGAGCAAACGGGAUUAGAUACCCCGGUAGUCCUGGCAGUAAACGGUGCACGUUUGGUGUGGGAGGAUUCGACCCCUUCUGCGCCGGAGCUAACGCGUUAAACGUGCCGCCUGGGGAGUACGGUCGCAAGAUUA
rnacentral:rRNA from 1 species